rnacentral:rRNA from 1 species
AGUGAACGCUGGCGGUAGGCCUAACACAUGCAAGUCGAACGGCAGCACAGUAAGAGCUUGCUCUUACGGGUGGCGAGUGGCGGACGGGUGAGGAAUACAUCGGAAUCUACUUUUUCGUGGGGGAUAACGUAGGGAAACUUACGCUAAUACCGCAUACGACCUACGGGUGAAAGCAUGGGAUCUUCGGACCUUGCGCGAUUGAAUGAGCCGAUGUCGGAUUAGCUAGUUGGCGGGGUAAAGGCCCACCAAGGCGACGAUCCGUAGCUGGUCUGAGAGGAUGAUCAGCCACACUGGAACUGAGACACGGUCCAGACUCCUACGGAGGGCAGCAGGGGGGAAUAUUGGACAAUGGGCGCAAGCCUGAUCCAGCCAUACCGCGUGGGUGAAGAAGGCCUUCGGGUUGUAAAGCCCUUUUGUUGGGAAAGAAAAGCAGCAGGUUAAUACCCCGCUGUUCUGACGGUACCCAAAGAAUAAGCACCGGCUAACUUCGUG